rnacentral:rRNA from 1 species
GACAGAGGUGCCGAGCGUUAGGCGGAAUCACUGGGCUUAAAGCGUGUGUAGGCGGAUCUGUAAGUACCUUGUGAAAUCCCACGGCUCAACCGUGGAACUGCUUGGUAUACUGCGGGUCUUGAGCCACCUAGGGGCAAGUGGAACAAACGGUGGAGCGGUGAAAUGCGUAGAUAUCGUUUGGAACGCCAAUGGUGAAAACAGCUAGCUGGGGAUGUGCCGACGCUGAGACACGAAAGCCAGGGGAGCGAACGGG